rnacentral:lncRNA from 1 species
CGAGGUGUGACAGCCCUGUUCGAUAUUUUUCAUCGUGAAUUAACCUAACCUUUUUAUAAAAUGCCCUGUACCAAGUCAGGAAAAUGGCCAUUGUUACAUGACAGUUCGUUUCUCUGUGUGUUACGUUUCGGUGUUUUGUCUCUGUUGUGUCAUAGUUUUCUUAUAUUUGAUACGUUUUCUCUCAGUUUUAGUUUGUAACCAGGAUUUGUUUUUUUUCUCUAUCGAUUUAUGAAUUUUGAACAGCGGUAUACUACUGUUGCAUUUAAUUAGACCGUGUUUUCAUCGAGCUAUAUUAAAUGUUUUACAUGGAGUACAAUCAGUUGUUAGUGUCUUCACAGCACUGCAUGCCUUGUCAGUUGUAGUUGAUCUUAAAUUUCGAGGACGAGGAAGCUACUAAAUACAAUUGUAAAACACUUGUAUUAACGGACGUUAACUUAAAGUAACAUGAAUAAUCCUAUUACGUAUAUAUAA